CAUUAAGUGGCUGAACUUUUUAAGCAUUGGUCUCUUAAACCAAAAUAUAGUAAGUAAAAUAUACUCUUAAUG
rnacentral:tRNA from 1 species